rnacentral:tRNA from 1 species
GCCGAAGUGGUGGAACUGGUAGACGCGCUAGGUUCAGGGCUUAGUGGAAGAAAUUCCGUGGGGGUUCAAGUCCCCCCUUCGGCACCA